GGGACUCUUUUGAACGCAACGGACGUGAUUGCAACCCCUUGUUGAGAUUAGAGAUAGUCUCGAUAUUCACUGGACAAACUGGCUGCUUUAUGCAGUCUUGUUGAAUGGUGGAUAAACUCGGGGGACUGCUGACUAUAACCAUUUCUCAAAACAGAGGAAGGUUGCGGCAAUAACAGGUCUGUGAUGCCCUCAGAUGUCCCGGGCUGCACACGUGCUACAAUGAGUGGCGCAAUGUGCUAAUGUUUAAGGGAUAAGAGUGUGGUCAGUAGAACGUCGGGAUUUCCCCUGACGUCUCCCCCGCACGAUUAUCAGCCUUCCCUUAACAGGGCGGGCAACCUUUUCAAAAUACUGGUUUGAUGUUAAAGUAUUGAGUCGUUUUUUUUGGAUGGUGGUUUGUUAACCAAUACCAUCCGGCAACUGCUCGCGAGUUUGUGGUUCUGGCGACUCAUGGUGGGGACCGACGUUUGUAAUUUUUUGUCGCGUGUUAACUAGGAAUGCCUUGUACUGUCGAUUCACUAAGUUACUGGGAAUACGUCCCUGCCCUUUGUACACACCGCCCGUCGCUCUUACCGAUGGCUGUGUGUGUGAGUAAGAGCGACUGUUAAGAGG
rnacentral:rRNA from 1 species